rnacentral:rRNA from 1 species
GAUGAACGCUGGCGGCGUGCCUAAUACAUGCAAGUCGAGCGAACGGACGAGAAGCUUGCUUCUCUGAUGUUAGCGGCGGACGGGUGAGUAACACGUGAUAACCUACCUAUAAGACUGGGAUAACUUCGGGAAACCGGAGCUAAUACCGGAUAAUAUUAUGAACCGCAUGGUUCAAAAGUGAAAGACGGUCUUGCUGUCACUUAUAGAUGGAUCCGCGCUGCAUUAGCUAGUUGGUAAGGUAACGGCUUACCAAGGCAACGAUGCAUAGCCGACCUGAGAGGGUGAUCGGCCACACUGGAACUGAGACACGGUCCAGACUCCUACGGGAGGCAGCAGUAGGGAAUCUUCCGCAAUGGGCGAAAGCCUGACGGAGCAACGCCGCGUGAGUGAUGAAGGUCUUCGGAUCGUAAAACUCUGUUAUUAGGGAAGAACAUAUGUGUAAGUAACUGUGCACAUCUUGACGGUACCUAAUCAGAAAGCCACGGCUAACUACGUG